rnacentral:rRNA from 1 species
UCUCCUCACUGUGUACCAAUCCAUGUUGCUUUCCCAGGUCUCCCUGGGGAAGGUCCAACCCAACACUGAUAAUUGAGUGUGUAGUCUGAGUAGGCCCAGUGCCUUGAAAUUUUAAACAAGUUAAAACUUUCAACAACGGAUCUCUUGGCUCUCGCAUCGAUGAAGAACGCAGCGAAAUGCGAUAAGUAAUGUGAAUUGCAGAAUUCAGUGAAUCAUCGAAUCUUUGAACGCACAUUGCGCCCCUUGGCAUUCCUUGGGGCAUGCCUGUUCGAGCGUCACUACAAACCCUCUCAUAGAUACUAUGGUAUUGAUGGAAGUGAACAGUAUCCAUUGGUGUACUCACACCACUCCAUCGAAAUGAAUAGGCAGGACAAGUGGCAACUGCAAUCGACUUAGUAAAUGGUUUUCAGACAUGGACCAGUCCUUUGCUACGUUGCACAGCCUGUAUCCAUGGACUCCCAUCCAGUGAGCACUUUGGGUUGACCUCGAAUCAGGUAGGGAUACCCGCUGAACUUAAGCAUAUC